rnacentral:lncRNA from 1 species
AGAAAAAGAUAUUGGCAGUUUGAGAUGUAAUGUUGGACAUCAAUCUAAUCUAAGCUGAGCUAAGUGCCAAAUGAACAUAUUUAGGAGUCAUUCAUGCAUAUGAAAUUUUAGAAGGGUCAAGUAAAGUAAACAAAUGAAGAAUCCACUACAUAAUCUUUGAUAAUUUUUAUUUAAACCAAAAAACUCAAAUUGAAAUUCCGAUUACAAUAUCCACUUCGUUCUGUAUUCAAAAAUAUUAUUCAGAGUUUGUAUUCAAAAAUAUCUUUUGUCGAUAUUUUUUAUUUUAUAAUAUUGGAUAUUAGCAAACAUAGAUUAACAAUGAUUAAAGUUACCAUGUUGUUCACGUACGUAGUUGAUGUCAUGGGUCUGAAAUGCAUCCAAAACAACACAUGAUUCGCCUUUAUCGCCAAUAGCAAAUUUCUCAAGCUCGUCACAAAAUCCUAAUUUUCUCAAAUUUUUGACGUUCUCAGCAAUCCAUGGUAUAGGGUACGAUUCAAAUUCCCCCAAAAAAGCCCAUUCUGGCAGGUAUGAAGAAGUCAGACGUACUAGCCUAAUUAAAGUAAAAGAUUUAAUACUUGAAUUAACUAAUUUUCUGAAACAAAUUAUUGCAAAAUCUAAAAUGAAUAUACCCCUUUGAUCAAAGUAGGAUGAAGAUAAUAUAUUUUUAUGUUGUCCUUUUAAAUCAUAACCUGAAAAUAAAACACAAACAUUAAGAAAUAUGAAUGAAAAUA